ensembl:lincRNA
GGAUCAUCGCCCGGAUUUGGGCACAGGUGCCUGUGUGUGUCUGGGCCUCCUGGCUCCCUUUCAAGGGCUGCCUCCUGAGCACAGACUGGGGCAUCUGCCUGCAGACGCACUGACACAGGUUCAGAGAGCUGCAGAGAAAGCCUCAGCACUGGAAACAUGGUCGUGCUCCCGCGCUGUAUCUCGGAGAUCAUUCACCCUUCAUCUGACACUCGGGUGGACAAUUGUCUUCAGAAAGGAAAGACAAGUCAGUGGUUAUUGUGCAGGAAAACUGUGCACCAAAAGAGAGAGAAAGGUUGGUCCUCACACAGCUGGCGGUAUUGUCUUCUGUGCAUACAGAUAUGGGGAGUGUUCAUGUUUAACGUCUCAGCAAGACAAGAGUCAGACGGGCUGUGCGUUCCAAUUCUCCUUUCAGAUGGCAGUUUUCCUGUGUGGAGUCUGGGCCUUGUGUGCACAUGGAGCAGCGGUACUGCCCAUGCCUGCUGCCUGGAGCUCCACGGGCAGAGGGACAGGGCACCCUGCCUGCCCCAAGAUUAAUUAUCCUCCAUGGAGCAGGAAAUCCCACCGCCUUUCAACAGCCAGGAACAGCAGCUGCUAAACAGAAUUCACUGCAGGACAGUCUGCUUCCCUCCCAGGCAUUUGCACGGGGCCUUCCCAGUCAGAAGGCUGGGCAGGAGCUUGUGCAGAGAGAGCUGGAAUUCUGGGAAAACACGUUCCAUCACCAUGGCUGAUUCGGAGUAAAAGACACAUUAACUAAGAAGCUCAGUCUGCAACCCCGUGUGCAAGAAAGUAACUUUGAAAUCGUCUUUCUAUAAUGGAAAUGCACUUCCGUUUCUUUCUCCCAUCUGCGUCCUUGGUGGAGAGGUCAUCCCAGCCAGGUCAGGGUCUCCUGGAAAAGGUCAGUCUUUUCCCUGGUGUUCUAAGUUCUGCAAGGGUAAAGUGAGCAUUUUUAAAAUACAUAUGUUUGGCAAAUUUGCAGACAUAUGAAUGUGAGCGGGAUCAGAAAUCCCACCUCCUCCCCUUGCACCCAGGUGUGUGUGGAGCUGGCGGCAGCUGCAGCGAGGGCUGAUUCCUCACCGGCUGGCUCUGUGCAUCCUCCCAGCCCUGGUCCCCAGCCCUCCCGAGGACAGUUCCGCACACUCCCUGAGACCCUUUACAGGAGCUCAUGUUGACCUAAUCAGCCAAUGUCAUCGUUUGUUCUUAAGGUAAGGGCUUUGACACAUGCGUGGGGGCCGUAUGAUGCCGUGACAUUGUCUGGGAG